ACAAACACAAAGUGGGGGCCAUCCCCCUGUGUAUUCAAAUCCAAUAUGAAAAGUUGCUGGUUGACUGUUUGCCGAGCACUUGGUAAAAGAUGCGCGAACACUAUUGCACUGUGAACAAACUGAUGAUGAUUGGGCAACGUUU
ensembl:ncRNA T19D7.8 ncRNA